GACGAACGCUGGCGGCGUGCUUAACACAUGCAAGUCGAACGCUGAAGCUUGGUGCUUGCACUGGGUGGAUGAGUGGCGAACGGGUGAGUAAUACGUGAGUAACCUGCCCUUGACUCUGGGAUAAGCCUGGGAAACUGGGUCUAAUACUGGAUACGACAUGUCACCGCAUGGUGGUGUGUGGAAAGGGUUUUACUGGUUUUGGAUGGGCUCACGGCCUAUCAGCUUGUUGGUGGGGUAAUGGCUCACCAAGGCGACGACGGGUAGCCGGCCUGAGAGGGUGACCGGCCACACUGGGACUGAGACACGGCCCAGACUCCUACGGGAGGCAGCAGUGGGGAAUAUUGCACAAUGGGCGAAAGCCUGAUGCAGCGACGCCGCGUGAGGGAUGACGGCCUUCGGGUUGUAAACCUCUUUCAGCACGGAAGAAGCGAAAGUGACGGUACGUGCAGAAGAAGCGCCGGCUAACUACGUG
rnacentral:rRNA from 2 species